AUCGGUUACUGCUUAGAGGAUGACAUCCAACUUCUGGUUUAUGAGUUUGUGCCCAAUGGCAACUUGGAAAAUCAUAUAUUUGGAAGUAAGUAAUUGAUAUCUUCCUCCAUUUUAGUUUCAAGCUUCUAAGUGAAGGUGCAAGUUUUCAUAUGACCUCAAACAAGUAUUUAUAGGAGCAGGGGAUUCUCACUUUCAACCUCUCUCUUGGGAUCUCUGUAUGAAAGUUGCCCUUGGUGCUGCAAAAGGUCUAGCAUUUCUACAUUAUGAGGCAGAUGUAAUAUACAGAGACUUUAAGACUUCUAAUAUCCUGCUUGAUUCGGUAUAUGAAAAUUUUCAGUAGCCAAGUUUGGUUUCUGUGGGAAUUAAAAAUUGUAGUACUAUCAACUCUCUGAUGCAAUUUUUUUUUUGGUAAAAAACAAUAGAAUUAUAAUGCCAAACUCUCUGAUUUGGGAUUGGCCAAGGAUGGGCCAAUUGGUUAUAGUUCCCAUGUCUCAACAAGGUUCUUGGGUACUGAAGGUUAUGCUGCACCUGAAUAUAUCAGAACAGGUCAUCUUACUGCAAAAUGUGAUGUAUAUGGUUUCGGAGUUGUUCUCCUCGAAAUGUUAUCCCGCAGGCGAGCUAUAGACAGAGACAAGCCAUAUGAAGAGCAAAAUUUAGCCAUGUGGGCAAAGAGCACUAUGAACAUGCGCAAAUUUUCCCAGGUUCUGAAUCCUGCCAUUUUAGGCCAGUACUCAAGAAGCAGUGCGCUAAAAGUAGCUCAACUUGCAUAUCAAUGUGUGUCAGAUGAACCAAAGUUUCGGCCAAAAAUGAAAGAUGUAAUAAAAAUUCUAGAAGAACUUCAGAAAUCUAAUGUCAAUGAGAAAUGCAAAGGCUUUGAACAUCGUAAAUCAAGCAAUGGUUCUAACUAUGGCAGAAAAAAACUCAGAUGAAGAUUGCAAGAACUAGAAAGUUGUCAGAUUCUAAGGAACCAUCUGCUUUUUUUUUUUUUCUUUCUUUCAAUUCACUGAAGUGGCAAUGUACACAUAACAACUCAGUUUGAAUAGAUUAUACAAGGACAGUUGAUCUGAGCCAGCAUAACCAUCGUGGAACAGAGAUGCACAGGCCCAGCAAAUCGAGGACUCUUCAUUAAGAAAAUUUCUAGCCUAGCCUCAGUUCAAUUCUCCAUAUUACUGUACAGCAGUCUCAGAUCCCAAAAAAGUAUUCCAAAAAGCUAAAUCGCAUGGAUUCAUUCUUUGUUUUCCUUCUACACCGUGAUCUAAAAGAAUGUACAGUUCUCACUGCUUGGAAUAUUACCCAUACUGAAGGAACUACCAUACAUUGGACCACCAGAAGCCACACCUCCCUGGAAGAAAUAGAUUUUCCUUGUGUUGAUUCAUGCAGUUGCUUUGUAUAAGUUGAUGCCUCGUCAUAACACACAGCUAGUUUCUUAUUUGCUAGAAGUGAGUUCCUUUCAUUGGUGCAAAUGAACACCCAGCGCCAUAAUCAGCAUUAUCAAAUAGCUUAGCGUGAUCAUCAAUUAUGGAUCUGACUGCAUACGAUUAAAGGCUGAGCCACUAUGACCCAUCCACCUACAGCCAGAACAUUCUAUACUGACUUUUUCCUUGUGGCCUUUUAAACUUAUUCCACAGUUCUUUCCCCAAGCACUUAUUGCAAACAUUAGUUUCAUCAGCUGUUGAUUUGGUGAAUUCAUCAAUCUCCAACAACUUAGAAAGCUUGCUCUGAUUGGUGGGGCACUAAAUGCAAUAAAGUCAGAAGCCACUGGUCCGGUUUGGCAAAGGAGAAUGGGGACUUAGGUCCAGGCAUGGGUUCAUCUUCACAUGAUCCUUUAAAAGCUGCCGAGACACACGAUCAGCCAAGACUGACUGUCCAUCAUAAAGUUCCCCAUGAGCAGGCCUUCCAAGUUGCUUUCCAAGUACAUCAUUUUCACAAGGAACCAGCUCGGAGAAAAUGUGAGACCCUGGCUGCAUUCCUCGAAAAAGGUCUGGAUUGGAAUCAUGAUAAGAAAGGCCAUUCAUGUAGAUACCAUUUGAGGGCUUUAGCAUGCUUCCAAAACCCUCCUGCAAAUAAACUGACUGUUUCAAAUGAUUAGAUGGAAUAGCACCACUGCCACCUGUCAGAGGAGUGGAUGCACCUGAAGGGGUCCGUGGGCUAGAUAUAGGUGAGGGAGACAUUCUCUGUGGCGACCUUGAAUGGGGAAGAGGGCUUCCAAUUGGUGAGACAGGACACGAUAUGUUCCUUUGGAUAUGAAUCUCGCUGGCAUGAGAACUCGUUUUCAGAACUCUAGAUGAAUGAACUGCGAGCCUCUCUGUAUCCAAAGGGGUAAAAUUUCUUGCUUGACUAAUGCCCUGAAACGUUAUUUAUACCAUAGCAACAGUUAAAACAUCUAUAUGGUACAACGAACGAGAGAAAAAUGAGUGAGAAAGCCAUGAAAAUAGCUAUACUUAGGAUCCAUGUAUCACAGUCUGUUUCAUGCAGAUUAUUUCCCAAACUUGUUUGUGGUACAAACAUAUCAGGUAGCACAAGAUAGAAAAGGAGCAACAUUAACAAAGAAAAUACCAGAGCUUUAACUCCAUUUGUAACUGCUGGGGGUUGAUCUGUAGGCUCAGGGCCUAGAAUAGGUCUUUCCAAAGGAGCAGCAGAUUUCACAAAACGGUGUUCCAAAAGCUGGGCAGCUGUAGGACGAAGUUGUGGAUUGCGUUGCAAGCAUUGUCUCACAAAAUCCUUUCCAUCAUCAGAGAGGUGAUCUGGAAUUGCUGGCAGAUCCUUACUAUUUCCAAUCUUAAACAUGGCAGCGACCCCUUCAAACUGGCUCCAAGGUGGUUUUGUUGUAGCCAUUUCCAAAACAGUACAUCCAAGACUCCAUAUAUCCACAGCAAGGUUGCAACCAUUUGAGUUCUUUAUAACCUCAGGAGCCAUCCAGUAAGGGCUUCCCUUGAAUGAAAGUGGACAUGAUUGUCCAGUGAUAUGCUUUGCCAUCCCAAAGUCUGCCAAUUUUACACGACCAUUAGGAUCCACAAGUAUGUUUGCUCCUUUAAUAUCUCUAUGGACAGUGCUUUUAGAAUGUAGAUAUGCAAGUCCUGAUAAGAUUUGCUGAGUAAAACUACGAAUUGCUAGCUCUCCCAAUUGUCCAUACUCUUGGAGAAUUUUGUAUAUGGAUCCACCUGAUACAUACUCCAGGUAUAUAUAAAGUCUGUCACCAACCGUCUCAGACCCAUAGUAUUGCACAAUGUUUGGAUGCCGUAAGCGGCUUAAUAGAGCAAUUUCCUGAUUCAACUGCUUAGCACUUUCCUUUGACUUGGCAUCGUCUGAAAAUAAUGUCACUUCCUUCAUUGCACACAUUUCACCACUUUCACUGUUAAAACCAACAUAAACAUGUCCAAAUGUGCCUCUACCCAGCAGCUUUCCCUUUUUCCAGCGUGAUCCAGGGCUUAUUGGAUUCUCUGCCCUUCCAGGACUUCGUGGCACAGAAGGAGAUGCUGCUGCUGAAUUUGAAUGAGAAAAAGGAGAUGAGCUGGAAACUGAUACAGGAGGAAGUGGCAACCGGUGGCUUUGUUGUUUUCCAUCAUCAGGCCAGCUUGUCUGUGAUUCAAUGGUCGUCCCUCCUGCUCGAGGAUGAAUUGGUGUCACAGCGCCACUCUGAACCCUUGAGCUAGGGCCAGGGCUGGUCAUUCUAGGACUAGGUAUUGGAGAACAUUCAGGGCUACCCCUACUUUGUUGCCAGAAUAUAUGUCCUGACAUAUCUCCUCCCAUUGAAUUAUGUCCAGAAUUGUAACCUGAACCAGGACUAGAGCAUUGGCCAGAUCCUAGUAAAUUGACAUCUGUAUAAGGCUUCCCUGCCCAGAAAGCAGAAUUUAUGACUUGUUCAGUGCCAAAUGCUCUCAUUGGACUUCUAGAAGGACUUGACAUAGAGCUAUCUGGGGCACUGCAAAAAGCACCAUGAUGUGGAACCUGUAGAUUUGGCACGUGACUGCUUAGAGGUCUCCGUUUGGGUGAUGUAGGAGAUGUAUGAUUACCAAAAGAAAUAUUAGCUGAUUUUUUUGCCUCUUGUGAGUUUAUUUGGGUGACAGUAGAGUGAUCCUUGAGCAUUGCACUGGAAGUACUGUUUGCAGUAGUUCUAUGCCCACGAUCAUAGUCAGUUGCCCGGGGACUACGAUGACUUGAGUCAGCAGGAUCAUCACUACCAAUGGAGCUCUCACUACAAACAGAAGGAGUGGCCAAAUCUCCAUCUAAAUCUGCUGGAUUUGCCCUACUACGGAUACAUCCUGGUUUUGGGAGAGGCAGAAACAAGGAUGACUUUGAGCCUUUUUCCAAUUUUGAUUUUGUUGAUAUUCCGAUUCCAGAGUCUGUACGCCCCACGGUUGCAGGGUGCGGACCAGGAAGGGGAAGCGGUUGGGCAUGGGGCCUCUCAGCAAAACUUUGACUUCUUGAAACAUGUUUGGAAGGUGAUGGAGAUCUUGAUUCGGCUCGAGAUUGAGAACCUUUCUCUGAAACUGUGUCACUGCAACGUCUUCGAGAACCUCCUGAUCUGCCAUUUAUUUUAUUCUCAGUUGGACUCUUAAAUUUUCUGUGUAACGUGUCAAUGAAACUUUCCUUGCUUGCUUUCUUCUUCACUUCUUUAGAUGAUGAUUUACCCCACCAUGAAGGCAUGCUUUCUGAAUUUUAAGACUUACAGAACUGUAGGACAAUUUCUCCUAAAGUAAUCCCAUUUCCAAUAUCAAAAACUAUCAUAAAAGCUCUUUGUAAGAAGUUAUCGCCCACAUGUACAACAUCUACAGCUUGAGGACAAUGGAAGGUUCACCGCACAAGAAAUUACAAGAAAUUCACAGCUACCAUUCAUGAUUUUAAGGAAGAGUGAGAUUUGGUAGAUAAAACUUCACAAACUUGAAGUUGCCAAAGUAAACUAGAGCAGUGAUUUAACAGUGCAAAUCGAUACAUAGAUUGGAUAAAUCGCUUGAAUCAUUAAACAUCUGGUUAGUGCAAGAGCAUAACCAAAACCCUAGAAAUCUAGAAUCAAGAAAACGAGAUACAGAAGUAGAUUUGAAGGAUUUCUAUCUCUCCUUUGGAAUUGAGAGUUCGCAUAGAGAUCGCGUACACAGAGAGAGAAAGAGAGAUUGAUAGAAAUGUAUAGAGAGAGAGCAGAGAGGAGAGAGAAAGCAUGUCCGAGCUAAGACAUCACUUUGUAUGU
rnacentral:misc_RNA from 1 species